GGCCCGCUGGCGCAACGGUAGCGCGUCAGAUUCCAGAGCUAAGCUAGCUGGAGUUUCCUGAAGGUUACCUGUUCGAAUCAGGUGUGGGUCA